rnacentral:rRNA from 1 species
UACGGAGGGUGCUAGCGUUAUUCGGAAUUACUGGGCGUAAAGCGCGUGCAGGCGGGAAGGCAAGUCUGAUGUGAAAGCCCGGGGCUUAACCUCGGAAGUGCAUUGGAAACUGCUUUUCUUGAGUACUGGAGAGGAAGGGGGAAUUCCCGGUGUAGAGGUGAAAUUCGUAGAGAUCGGGAGGAAUACCAGUGGCGAAGGCGCCCUUCUGGACGGUUACUGACGCUGAGACGCGAAAGCGUGGGGAGCAAACAGG